rnacentral:ncRNA from 1 species
UAUAAUGUUUCAAGAGGAUGAGAACUUUCUAAUUCGAUAUACAGAGACAUUACGGUUGGUGGAAGUAAUGCGAAAUUAAGUUCAUGCUCCCUCACGAAAGUGUUUGUGAAAGCAGACCGUUAAUCGGCGUUAACGAUUUUAAAGAGGUAAUGAUAUAGAUAGUCAUUGCAAACGGAGUGGUACCGCGUUCUAGCGUCUCCGUA